GUGAUGGCGUGCCUUUUGAAGAAUGAGCCUGCGAGUUGUGGCAUGUCGCGAGGUUAACCCGUGUGGGGUAGCCGUAGCGAAAGCGAGUCUGAAUAGGGCGUUUGAGUGGCAUGUUGCAGACCCGAAGCGGAGUGAUCUACCCAUGGCCAGGGUGAAGCGCCGGUAAGACGGUGUGGAGGCCCGAACCCACUUAGGUUGAAAACUGAGGGGAUGAGCUGUGGGUAGGGGUGAAAGGCCAAUCAAACUCCGUGAUAGCUGGUUCUCCCCGAAAUGCAUUUAGGUGCAGCGUUGCGUGUUUCUUCCCGGAGGUAGAGCACUGGAUGGUCUAGGGGGCCGACAAGCUUACCGAAAUCAACCAAACUCCGAAUGCCGGUGAAGUGAAGCGUGGCAGUGAGACUGUGGGGGAUAAGCUUCAUAGUCGAGAGGGAAACAGCCCAGACCACCAGCUAAGGCCCCUAAGCGUGCGCUAAGUGGGAAAGGAUGUGGGAUCGCUUAGACAACCAGGAGGUUGGCUUAGAAGCAGCCACCCUUGAAAGAGUGCGUAAUAGCUCACUGGUCAAGUGGUUCCGCGCCGACAAUGUAGCGGGGCUCAAGCGUACCGCCGAAGCUGUGGCAUGCAAACAUUACAUCCGCCAGUUUACUGGUGCAGUGGUUUGUGUGGGUAGGGGAGCGUCGUGCAUCCAGAGAAGCCGCGGGGUGACCUAGUGGUGGAGGGUGUUCGAGUGAGAAUGCAGGCAUGAGUAGCGAAAGCAGAGUGAGAAACUCUGCCGCCGAAUGACCAAGGGUUCCUGGGCCAGGUUAUUCCGCCCAGGGUGAGCCGGGACCUAAGGCGAGGCCGACAGGCGUAGUCGAUGGACAACGGGUUGAUAUUCCCGUGCCCGUGCGAGCGCGACAAUGGCGAACCUUUUGAUACUAACCACCUGGACACCGUUGAGUGGCCUUCGGGUUGUUCUUCGAUUGUUCGGCUGGGACCUGAUUUGGUAGUAGUCAAGCGAUGGGGUGACGCAGGAGGGUAGCUCCGCCAGUGAGUGGUUGUACUGGUGUAAGCCUGUAGCCCGACAUCUAGGUAAAUCCGGGUGUCGUGAAGGGUGAGAGGUGAUGCGUAGCCGAUUGAGGCGAAGUAGAGUGAUCCCAUGCUGUCGAGAAAAGCCUCUAGCGAGUUCUUGCGCGGCCCGUACCCUAAACCGACACAGGUGGUCAGGUAGAGAAUACCAAGGCGAUCGAGCGAACUAUGGUUAAGGAACUCGGCAAAAUACCUCCGUAACUUCGGGAGAAGGAGGGCCGCUGGCUUUGAAGCUCCUUGCGGGCUAGGGGUUGGCGGUCGCAGAGACCAGGCCCAAGCGACUGUUUACUAAAAACACAGGUCCGUGCGAAGUCGCAAGACGAUGUAUACGGACUGACGCCUGCCCGGUGCUGGAACGUUAAGAGGACCUGUUAGUCCCUUUGGGGGCGAAGCGGAGAAUUUAAGCGCCAGUAAACGGCGGUGGUAACUAUAACCAUCCUAAGGUAGCGAAAUUCCUUGUCGGGUAAGUUCCGACCUGCACGAAUGGCGUAACGACUUGGGCGCUGUCUCGACCAUAGACUCGGCGAAAUUGCACUACGAGUAAAGAUGCUCGUUACGCGCGGCAGGACGGAAAGACCCCGGGACCUUUACUAUAGCUUGGUAUUGGUGCUCGGUUCGGAUUGUGUAGGAUAGGUGGGAGACUGUGAAGCUGCGACGCUAGUUGUGGUGGAGUCAUCGUUGAAAUACCACUCUGUUCGAAUUGGGUGUCUAACUUCGGACCAUGAUCUGGUUCAGGGACAGUGCCUGGUGGGUAGUUUAACUGGGGCGGUUGCCUCCCAAAAUGUAACGGAGGCGCCCAAAGGUUCCCUCAGCCUGGUUGGCAAUCAGGUUUCGAGUGUAAGUGCACAAGGGAGCUUGACUGUGAGACAGACAUGUCGAGCAGGGACGAAAGUCGGGACUAGUGAUCCGGCACCACCUUGUGGAAGGGGUGUCGCUCAACGGAUAAAAGGUACCCCGGGGAUAACAGGCUGAUCUUGCCCAAGAGUCCAUAUCGACGGCAUGGUUUGGCACCUCGAUGUCGGCUCGUCGCAUCCUGGGGCUGGAGUAGGUCCCAAGGGUUGGGCUGUUCGCCCAUUAAAGCGGCACGCGAGCUGGGUUUAGAACGUCGUGAGACAGUUCGGUCCCUAUCCGCCGCGCGCGUAGGAGAAUUGAGGAAGGCUGUCCCUAGUACGAGAGGACCGGGACGGACGAACCUCUGGUGUGCCAGUUGUCCCGCCAGGGGCAUGGCUGGUUGGCUACGUUCGGAAGGGAUAACCGCUGAAGGCAUCUAAGCGGGAAGCUCGUUCCAAGAUGAGUUCUCCCACCACCUUUGCGUGGUUAAGGCCCCCCACAGACUAUGGGGUUGAUAGGCCAGAGAUGGAAGCCCUGUGAGGGGUGGAGUUGACUGGUACUAAUAGGCCGAGGGCUUCACCUCA
rnacentral:rRNA from 1 species